rnacentral:rRNA from 1 species
AUUGAACGCUGGCCGCAUGCUUUACACAUGCAAGUCGAACGGCAGCACAGGGAGCUUGCUCCCGGGUGGCGAGUGGCGCACGGGUGAGUAAUACAUCGGAACGUGUCCUGUUGUGGGGGAUAACUGCUCGAAAGGGUGGCUAAUACCGCAUGAGACCUGAGGGUGAAAGCGGGGGAUCGCAAGACCUCGCGCAAUUGGAGCGGCCGAUGCCCGAUUAGCUAGUUGGUGAGGUAAAGGCUCACCAAGGCGACGAUCGGUAGCUGGUCUGAGAGGACGACCAGCCACACUGGGACUGAGACACGGCCCAGACUCCUACGGGAGGCAGCAGUGGGGAAUUUUGGACAAUGGGGGCAACCCUGAUCCAGCCAUGCCGCGUGCAGGAUGAAGGCCUUCGGGUUGUAAACUGCUUUUGUCAGGGACGAAAAGGACCGUGUUAAUACCAUGGUCUGCUGACGGUACCUGAAGAAUAAGCACCGGCUAACUACGUGCCAGCAGCCGCGGUAAUACGUAGGGUGCAAGCGUUAAUCGGAAUUACUGGGCGUAAAGCGUGCGCAGGCGGUUCUGUAAGACAGAUGUGAAAUCCCCGGGCUCAACCUGGGAAUUGCAUUUGUGACUGCAGGACUAGAGUUCAUCAGAGGGGGGUGGAAUUCCAAGUGUAGCAGUGAAAUGCGUAGAUAUUUGGAAGAACACCAAUGGCGAAGGCAGCCCCCUGGGAUGCGACUGACGCUCAUGCACGANAGCGUGNGGAGCAAACAGG